AUUGAACGCUGGCGGCAGGCUUAACACAUGCAAGUCGAACGAAGUGGCGAACGGGUGAGUAACGCGUAAUCAACCUGCCCUUCAGAGGGGGACAACAGUUGGAAACGACUGCUAAUACCGCAUACUGAAGGAGGGGAUUGCGUAUGAGUAGCUAGUUGGUGGGGUAACGGCCCACGAAGGAGAGGAUCAGUAGCCGGUCUGAGAGGAGGAACGGCUACAGUGGGACUGGGACAAGGCCCAGACUCCUACGGGAGGCAGCAGUGGGGAAUCUUCCGCAAUGGACGAAAGUCUGACUGAGCAACGCCGCGGGAGUGAUGACGGCCUUCGGGUUGUAAAGCUCUGUUAAUCGGGACGCGGUACCGGAAUAGAAAGCCACGGCUAACUACGUGCCAGCAGCCGCGGUAAUAC
rnacentral:rRNA from 1 species